UACACGGUACAACACAACUAACUUUAAUUUGGUCAGGAUGGGAACAUAGCAGCCAUAUAAGCAAAUUGUGUGUGUACCACUUUAUU
rnacentral:SRP_RNA from 1 species